rnacentral:rRNA from 1 species
UAAUACGUAGGUGGCAAGCGUUGUCCGGAUUUAUUGGGUUUAAAGGGUGCGUAGGCGGCUUUUUAAGUCAGUGCUGAAAUAUUCCGGCUUAACCGGGAGGGUGGCAUUGAUACUGAAGAGCUUGAGUAAAGUUGAGGUAGGCGGAAUUGACGGUGUAGCGGUGAAAUGCUUAGAUAUCGUCAAGAACACCGAUAGUGAAGACAGCUUACUAAGUUUUAACUGACGCUGAUGCACGAAAGUGUGGGGAUCAAACAGGAUUAGAUACCCUGGUAGUCCACACUGUAAACGUUGAUGACUCGCUGUUUGCGAUAUACAGUAAGCGGCUGAGAGAAAUCGUUAAGUCAUCCACCUGGGGAGUACGCCGGCAACGGUG